rnacentral:misc_RNA from 1 species
AAAAAAUAAAACAAAAGUUUUUCUUUAGAGAAAAGGCAAGAAAAUGAGCAGUAACUUGGAGUGUCGAUCAUUGCUUCAUGGAUUUGAUAAGGGAGGACUUUUUGAUUUGGGACAUCCUCUUCUUAAUCGUAUUUCUGAAAGUUUUGUCAAAGCUGCUGGGAUUGGUGCUGUUCAAGCUGUUGCUCGUGAGGCUUAUUUUACUGCUUCUGAAAGUACGGGUGGAGAUACAAGUAGCAUACCACCAGAGAUCACUGGUCCCAAGAAGAAUCGAUUUCCAGACCUUAGAGGUGAGACCAACAGAAAGUCAGUUGAGGCCCUGGUAAAGAGCACCGGAAAAGAAUCUGUUCAAUGGGGACUAGCUGCAGGGAUGUACUCUGGACUUACAUAUGGAUUAAAAGAGGCACGUGGCGUCCAUGAUUGGAAAAAUAGCGCGUUGGCGGGAGCAAUAACUGGUGCAGCGUUGGCUUUAACACUAGAAGAACGUUCUCAUGAACAGGUGGUGCAGUGUGCCAUCACAGGAGCAGCUAUCUCGACUGCUGCGAAUCUGCUUACAGGAAUAUUUUAGGCCGAAUAGGAUUAUGUUCAGUUACUAUUGUGUUUGUAUGGCACUGCACUAGACAAUUUAGCUCUCAUGUAUGUGGAUUUUUGAAUUUUGUGGCAUUUUUUGUGCCUCUACUACUUAUGUGGAUUU